AGUGGCGGACGGGUGAGUAACGCGUGGGUAACCUGCCCUGUACAGGGGGAUAACAGUUAGAAAUGACUGCUAAUACCGCAUAAGACCACAGCACCGCAUGGUGCAGGGGUAAAAACUCCGGUGGUACAGGAUGGACCCGCGUCUGAUUAGCUGGUUGGUGAGGUAACGGCUCACCAAGGCGACGAUCAGUAGCCGGCUUGAGAGAGUGAACGGCCACAUUGGGACUGAGACACGGCCCAAACUCCUACGGGAGGCAGCAUG
rnacentral:rRNA from 1 species